rnacentral:rRNA from 1 species
GUGGGGAAUCUUGCGCAAUGGGCGAAAGCCUGACGCAGCCAUGCCGCGUGGAUGAUGAAGGUCUUAGGAUUGUAAAAUCCUUUCACCGGUGAAGAUAAUGACUGUAGCCGGAGAAGAAGCCCCGGCUAACUUCGUGCCAGCAGCCGCGGUAAUACGAAGGGGGCUAGCGUUGCUCGGAUUUACUGGGCGUAAAGGGCGCGUAGGCGGACAUUUAAGUCAGGGGUGAAAUCCCGGGGCUCAACCUCGGAACUGCCUUUGAUACUGGGUGUCUUGAGUAUGAGAGAGGUGUGUGGAACUCCGAGUGUAGAGGUGAAAUUCGUAGAUAUUCGGAAGAACACCAGUGGCGAAGGCGACACACUGGCUCAUUACUGACGCUCAUGUGCGAAAGCUAGGGUAGCGAACGGGAUUAGAAACCCCAGUAGUCC